GACGAACGCUGGCGGCGUGCCUAAUACAUGCAAGUCGAACGCAGUGGGGCCGGGUGAGUAACACGUGGGUAACCUCCCAUCAGAGGGGAUAACACUUGGAAACAGGUGCUAAACCGAUACUGAUGGAUGGACCCGCGGUGCAUUAGCUAGUUGGUGAGGUAACGGCUCACCAAGGCCACGAUGCAUAGACAACCUGAGAGGGUGAUCGGCCACACUAGGACUGAGACACGGACCAGACUCCGACGGGAGGCAACAAUAGGGAAUCUUCGGCAAUAGACGAAAGUCUGACCGAGAAACGACGCGUGAAUGAAGAAGGUUUUCGGAUCGUAAAACACUGUUGUUAGAGAAGCGGUAUCUAACCGGAAAGCCAGGGCUAACGACGUGCCAGGAGCCGAGGUAAUAG
rnacentral:rRNA from 1 species